CCAAGGAGUCUAACAUGUGCGCGAGUCAGUGGGUCUUGAACAGGCCCAGAGGCGCAAUGAAAGUGAAGGAUGCCCGUGCCGGCAUCUGCGUUGGGAUCCCGGGACCCCGGUUCCGGGCGCACCAACGGCCCGUCCCACCUGCCACGUCAGCGGGACGGAGCGAGAGCGUACACGUUGGGACCCGAAAGAUGGUGAACUAUGCCUGGGCAGGACGAGGCCAGAGGAAACUCUGGUGGAGGUCCGCAGCGAUUCUGACGUGCAAAUCGAUCGUCAGACCUUGGUAUAGGGGCGAUAGACUAAUCGAACCGUCNN
rnacentral:rRNA from 1 species